CACAUUGCGAAGGGGCGCUCGUCUCGGGCUCGCCUAGGGCGCCUCUGAAGCCCGGGCCGGCCCUGAAUGUGCUGUGUGGUCAUGAGAUAUAAAGUUAAUUGGGAGAGUCUUGGGACUGCUAUUAAGUCAUUGUUUAAAGGAAUACUCCACCCAAAAAAUGAUUUGGCCUCAUUUUCUACUCACCAUACAAUAGGCAGCCACAUUUGCAGUUUUUCUUCAUUUGUUCUAUUGCUUUGUUUGCAGAAGCAAUUUGGAAGAAUUUUAAGGAGGCUACAGAUGACCAAAUCCACUCGGCCAUGAGACUCCAUUUCAAACAGGCCCCAGCUUGGACUGGUGGAGGGGGUUACAGGAGACCCAGGACACCAGUGGUGUAGUUUGAUUUUAAAGGUUUGGUUUGCAGCAAUAAAACAAAAAAAAAAAAAAAUGUUGUUGUUGUUAUUGUUAUGGUUUUAAUUUUGUAUUUACAAUUUGUUCUGUUUUUUUCACUGCAACGUUUAUGUAACGCACCUCCAGAAGGGUUAAUAAAUACAAUCUAUUAAUUUGCAGUCAUUAUUUAAUUGUUUCUUUAUGUUUAUAAGUAUUUUGUAUUUUAUUUUGAAAAACCGGAAGUUUAUUUUGAAGACCGGAAGUAAUAGGCCGCGCUAGUGAAGCAGCUUAACCUCACUAAUGCAUAGACGGAGCACGCGUCUUCACUUCCGUGUGAGAGAGAAAAACGGGAAAAAAGAGAGAGGAAAAACCGUCGUUGAAGCACUUUCCGGCCGCGUUUCUCCUGAAAAAACCAUUGGUCAGGUUCUAUUGUGAUGCUUGGAAAGAGUGAAGCUUCAGCUUUCAUGUCUGACGAAGCUGAUGAGCGAUCCAACUGAUGGCGAGCUCCCAGUCCACCUUCGGUGCUUCAAGCAGAACUUUUAAUUCUGCUACACCACUCAACAGAUUAAGUGGUAGGAUUUGUGUCAGUCCAACUGACCGGCACCAACGAAAGCCUUCCUUGGAUAUCCUUGAAUCUUGACUUUUGACUUUGACUUUUGGAUCCAAACCACCGAGGAACACUCCCAUUUGGACAUUUAUUUAGUUAAUUUAUUUUAUUUCUUUUCUUAGUUUAUGGGCCCAA